rnacentral:rRNA from 1 species
UGUAAAAUUUCAAAGGUCGAACAGACCCAAUAUUUUAGCUUUUACACCAAAAAUUAAUUUUAAUCCAACAUCGAGGUCGCAAUCUUUUUUUUUAAUAUGAACUUUCUAAAAAAAUUACGCUGUUAUCCCUAAGGUAAUUUUAUCUUUUAAUCAAAAAUAUUGGAUCAUAUACUCAUAAAUUUAUGUAAUAAAAUAAAAAAAGUUUAUUAAAUUUUUCAAUCACCCCAACUAAAUUAUUUUAAAUAAAUAAUAAAUAAAUUCUUAAAUAAUAUAUAUUUAAAGUAAUUAAACUCUAUAGGGUCUUCUCGUCUUUUAAUAAUAAUUAAGCUUUUUUACUUAAAAAUAAAAUUCUACUCAAAUUUAAUAGAGACAGUUGUUUUCUUAUUCAACCUUUCAUUCCAGUUUUCAAUUAAAAAACUAAUGAUUAUGCUACCUUAGCACGGUCAAAAUACCACGGCCAUUUAAAAUUUCAGUGGGCAGGUUAGACCUUAAAUUAUAAGCAAAAGGAC